UACGGGGGGGGCAAGCGUUGUUCGGAAUUACUGGGCGUAAAGGGCUCGUAGGUUGCCAACUAAGUCGGACGUGAAAUCCCUCAGCUUAACUGGGGAACUGCGUCCGAUACUGGAUGGCUUGAGUUUGGGAGAGGGAUGCGGAAUUCCAGGUGUAGCGGUGAAAUGCGUAGAUAUCUGGAGGAACACCGGUGGCGAAGGCGGCAUCCUGGACCAACACUGACACUGAGGAGCGAAAGCCAGGGGAGCAAACGGG
rnacentral:rRNA from 1 species